rnacentral:tRNA from 1 species
CUAAGGUGUAUAGGCGAAAGCCUUACACAAAACAUGCGCACGCCACUCACUAUUUAGUUUUGAGGGAGCAAGGUCUCAAAGCAGGCCGCUUGAGCGUUCAUUGCCUUCAGUCUAGGACUCCUUAGACUGAUUUUCUUUCUCAAGAGGGGGCCUAUAGCUCAGUUCCGGUCAGAGCGUACGCCUGAUAAGCGUGAGGUCGUUGGUUCGAUUCCAACUAGGCCCACCACGACCUGACGGGGGUGUAGCUCAGAUGGAAGAGCGCCUGCUUUGCACGCAGGGGGUCAUCGGUUCGAAUCCGUUCACCUCCACCAUACAAGCUUUAAGCUAUGAGCUGUAAGCAAUAAGCAAAAGCAAAACACAGUUUAUAGUUUAACGGGGGGUUAACAACCCCAAUGCUCUUUGACAAGUGAAGCAAGAAGAGAGAUGUCCUUAGGAGUUCCCCAAGACAAGGGGCUUAU